AUUGAACGCUGGCGGCAGGCCUAACACAUGCAAGUCGAACGGUAACAGGAAGCAGCUUGCUGCUUCGCUGACGAGUGGCGGACGGGUGAGUAAUGUCUGGGAAGCUGCCUGAUGGAGGGGGAUAACUACUGGAAACGGUAGCUAAUACCGCAUAAUGUCGCAAGACCAAAGAGGGGGACCUUCGGGCCUCUUGCCAUCGGAUGUGCCCAGAUGGGAUUAGCUUGUUGGUGGGGUAACGGCUCACCAAGGCGACGAUCCCUAGCUGGUCUGAGAUGAUGACCAGCCACACUGGAACUGAGACACGGUCCAGACUCCUACGGGAGGCAGCAGUGGGGAAUAUUGCACAAUGGGCGCAAGCCUGAUGCAGCCAUGCCGCGUGUAUGAAGAAGGCCUUCGGGUUGUAAAGUACUUUCAGCGGGGAGGAAGGGAGUAAAGUUAAUACCUUUGCUCAUUGACGUUACCCGCAGAAGAAGCACCGGCUAACUCCGUG
rnacentral:rRNA from 1 species